rnacentral:tRNA from 1 species
GGGGAUUUAGCUCAGUGAUAGAGCGCUUGCCUAGGAAGCGCAAGGCCCUGGGUUCGAUGCCCAGCUCCG